AUAUAUAUUUCUAGGCACAUAUAAAAAUCCUUAUAGGUAAAAGAGGUAAGUGAAGGAAUAUGCAUCGAUAAUAAUAACCAAAAACAAAUAUAUCCAUCAAAAUAUAAAUAAGUAUAUAGUGAGAACUAUACAAUAGAAAUAUCUGGAUGCAUCUAUACAUGACAACAGACAGGAAUAUAAUGUGCAUGACAUGUAUACUAUGGACACACUAACAUAGUUUGGAAAUUAUGGGGGGCUGGGAAUAUGGCCUAGUGGCAACAGUGC